rnacentral:rRNA from 1 species
UACGUAGGGUGCGAGCGUUGUCCGGAAUUACUGGGCGUAAAGAGCUCGUAGGUGGUUUGUCGCGUUGUCCGUGAAAACUCACAACUCAAUUGUGGGCGUGCGGGCGAUACGGGCAGACUGGAGUACUGCAGAGGAGACUGGAAUUCCUGGUGUAGCGGUGGAAUGCGCAGAUAUCAGGAGGAACACCGGUGGCGAAGGCGGGUCUCUGGGCAGUAACUGACGCUGAGGAGCGAAAGCAUGGGGAGCGAACAGG